AGAGUUUGAUCCUGGCUCAGAACGAACGCUGGCGGCGUGGAUAAGACAUGCAAGUCGAGCGGGAUUUCCGUUGGUAGCAAUACCGAGGGAAAUUCAGCGGCGAACGGGUGCGUAACACGUGGGCAAUCUGUCUUAAAGUGGGGGAUAGCUCGGCGAAAGCCGAAUUAAUACCGCAUGUGAUCAGAGGCGACAUCGCUUCGAAAUCAAAGGUGGCGCAAGCUACCGCUUUUUGAGGGGCCCGCGGCCUAUCAGCUUGUUGGUGAGGUAAUGGCUCACCAAGGCUAUGACGGGUAGCUGGUCUGAGAGGACGACCAGUCACACUGGGACUGAGACACGGCCCAGACACCUACGGGUGGCAGCAGUCGAGAAUUUUUGACAAUGGGGGAAACCCUGAUCGAGCGACGCCGCGUGGAGGAUGAAGGUCUUCGGGUUGUAAACUCCUGUCAUUUGGGAACAAGGUGCACACGUUAACUGCGUGUGCAUUGAUAGUACCAGAAGAGGAAGAGACGGCUAACUCUGUGCCAGCAGCCGCGGUAAUACAGAGGCCUCAAGCGUUGUUCGGAUUCAUUGGGCGUAAAGGGUGUGUAGGUGGCGCCGUAAGUCGGGUGUGAAAUUUCGGAGCUUAACUCCGAAACUGCAUUCGAUACUGCGGUGCUUGAGGACUGGAGAGGAGACUGGAAUUUACGGUGUAGCAGUGAAAUGCGUAGAUAUCGUAAGGAAGACCAGUGGCGAAGGCGGGUCUCUGGACAGUUCCUGACACUGAGACACGAAGGCCAGGGGACAACGGGAUUAGAUACCCNNGUAGUCC
rnacentral:rRNA from 1 species